rnacentral:tRNA from 1 species
GAUUGUGGCUUAGUGGCAGAGUGCUUGCCUAGCACGUGUGAGACACUGGGUUAGAUCCUCAGCACAAUCA